AUUUAACCUAGUCUUUUCAUUUACAGGUAGAAAAAUUUAAAACUCAGAAAAUUAUUUGUCUAGGUCACAAAGUUAAAAGAAAUGGUUGGGGAAAAGGAAAGCUCUGUGGAAUGAAGAAGUCAGACAGUGAGCUGGACUUCAGAAAGCAGUACGCAUCAACGGCAGCUGAGGCCUAAAGGCGAGCACACAAGGAACAGUCAAGUGAUGCUAAAAACAAGGGCAACAAAAAGGCUGUUUAAGAUUGUUGACUGGUUCAACCUUCUGCCGGAUGGGCCUCUUGUUGAAUAUGGUUUCUCAAACAACCAUCUCUAGUGGACGACGCAAAGCAGGGCAAACACUCAAAAUUCAAACAGAAAAUUGUUUCCUCUGGGCUGGUAAGGCACAAAAUCAAAAAGCUCUGUAAAUCUGGACUCCCAUAUGUGAUUCUCAGCUGGUGUGAGUCCCUGAAUGAAUUACAUGCAGCCACAGAAAUUAAUGCUACACACAUGGGGACUCAACUUAAAAGGAAGAAUUGCAUCUGAGAGGACUCUGCCAGGCAUUAAGAAACUCUGGAAAGCAGACAGAGUCCACAUUGAUAUGUGGCUUUUUGUAUUUCUGAAAAAUCUAAAAUGUCCAGGAGACAGGGUUGCCAUGGUGUACAACUCAAGAAGCAAAAUUCGCCAACAGAAUUGCCUGGAGAGACCAUAAAUCCUCAAUUGAAGGGGUGCCUGGGUGGCUCCAUCAGUUAAGCAGCUGCCUUUGGCUCAGGUCAUGAGUCUGGGGUCCUGAAAUUGAGCCUGGCAUGGGGCUCCCUACUCAGUGGGGAGUGUGCUUCUCCUUCUUACUCGGCCCUUCCCUACCCAGAUCACUCACACUUUUUCUCCCUUUCUCUCAAAUAAACAAAAC
rnacentral:lncRNA from 1 species